AUUGAACGCUGGCGGAAUGCUUUACACAUGCAAGUCGAACGGCAGCACGGACUUCGGUCUGGUGGCGAGUGGCGAGCGGGUGAGUAAUGUAUCGGAACGUGCCCAGUCGUGGGGGAUAACGUAGUGAAAAUUACGCUAAUACCGCAUACGAUCUAUGGAUGAAAGCGGGGGAUCGCAAGACCUCGCGCGAUUGGAGCGGCCGAUAUCAGAUUAGGUAGUUGGUGGGGUAAAGGCCCACCAAGCCAACGAUCUGUAGCUGGUCUGAGAGGACGACCAGCCACGCUGGAACUGAGACACGGUCCAGACUCCUACGGGAGGCAGCAGUGGGGAAUUUUGGACAAUGGGCGAAAGCCUGAUCCAGCCAUUCCGCGUGCAGGAUGAAGGCCCUCGGGUUGUAAACUGCUUUUGUACAGAAUGAAAAGGUUUCUACUAAUACUAGGAGCUCAUGACGGUACUGUAAGAAUAAGCACCGGCUAACUACGUGCCAGCCGCCGCCGUAA
rnacentral:rRNA from 1 species